rnacentral:lncRNA from 1 species
CAAGGCCAAGUAUAGAGCCUUAUGCCUUUAAUCCCAGUGCUUUAGGAGGCCAAGGCAGGAGGAAGGCUUGAUCCAGGAGUUCAAGUUCAGCCUGGACAACAUUGAGAUAAUCUAUUUCUAUAAAAAUAAUUUUUAAAAAAUGCCAGGCAUGGUGGUGCACAUCUGUGGAUCCAGUUACUUGGGAAGCUGAGGUAGGAGGAUCAUUUGAGCCUCAGAGUUUGAAGCUGCAGUGAGCCAGGACUGUUUCAGUGCACUCCAUUCUGGGCAACAGAGCUAGAGGUUUUCUCUGAACAAACAAAGGUAUUUUAUUUCAUCACAGUAUUUUAUUUGCAUCUAUUUGCAUAUGCACAUAUAUGUGUGUGUUGUGGUGUAUUUUAGAGUGGAAGACAAGCUGUAAGUCACUAGAUGGAUGACAAUUUGAACUUUCCUCCACAAACUGUAGCAUGUAGUGUUUGGAGUUUGCUAGACUGUGGAAACCUCAGAAAAAGAAACAUCUGUCAUCCAGAAAGCCCAGAGGAUGCUAAACUCUUGAUCCAGAUGCAUGAAUUUUCCUGCAUCUACUGUUCAGACCAGUUGUAGAAUAUUCAGAAAUACAGAAUCACACAUACUGCAAGAUUUCCAGAAACAAAUCAUCCACUGAGUCUUAAAAGUAAAGAACUCUGUGUUCUUGCUCAGUUGUCUACAUACCUGGGAUCUUACA